UACGUAGGGUGCAAGCGUUAAUCGGAAUUACUGGGCGUAAAGCGAGUGUAGGCGGUCUGUCAAGUCGGGUGUGAAAGCCCCGGGCUCAACCCGGGAAGUGCACUCGAAACUCACAGGCUAGAGUAUCGGAGAGGUUGGUGGAAUUCUCGGUGUAGAGGUGAAAUUCGUAGAUAUCGAGAGGAACACCGGUGGCGAAGGCGGCCAACUGGACGAAUACUGACGCUGAGACUCGAAAGCGUGGGGAGCAAACAGG
rnacentral:rRNA from 1 species